UCCUUUUUUUGGACUCCACUAAGGGGAAAAACAUCUUUCAUUUGUCCUAAUUUAACGCUGUUAAUGAGAUUGAUGCUGCAGGCUGCCCAGAACAUCAGCAAGACGUGUGGGUCGAGCACCCUCCAUUAACAGCAGCACCCAGCCUGUAGCUGUGACCCUGCUAUCAGGGGGCAGGCCCUUUGGCAGCAGCACAGCGUUUUACCAGCCCUGUUCUCACCCGGUUUUCAUUUUCUUUCCUAUUUUUGCAGCUCUGCUCCAUUAAUCUUCUUCCUGGCAUCAGUUCUCUGAAGCCUCAGUAUGUAAUGCAUUCAGCAACCCUGUGAGUUUGCUUUUUAUUUCUCCUUCUCCCCUAGGUCUCGUUGGCUUUGUAACAAGGCACAGAACGACCUGAUGAUGGGAAGGAUGUACAGAUGCUUCUCAGUUUGGCACUGUGAGGCUCUGAACGCUCACCUCACACUGCUGACUCUGCCCCCAGGUGCUCCCCCAUUGGCAGGAGAGAUGCUGCUGCUCCUGUCACAGCUGUCCCCUUAUGGCUGCAGAACCUUUGCUUGGAGCUCCUGAUACCCAAGGCUGGUCCAGGUGCUCCUGGAGCCCAGCCAGCUGUGAUAAAUCUCCUUAAUUGCAGCUCAUUAUAAUUAUGCUUUAUAUGGAGCUGAUGCUAUUAUUGCUGGGAGCUGUGGCCUAAUGAAUGCUAUGCAGGAGGUCUCUAGCCCUCCUUGGGAGCUGAGGGUACUGAGUGGGAGCUCCAGGCCUUGCUGGGGUUGAUGGAGCUGGCUUGCAGCCCUGUGCUGCAAUGGGAAGAGUGCAGGAGCAAAGGCAGUGUGAAGAUGACCAUCUGUACCUCACCUCUUUUUGGUAUUGUCUACCCAAGAACCCAUCUGGUGUGUGCGUAGAAGAACCUUCAGCAUUAAUUGCUCUCCCUCAAGUGCCACAUCUCUGUGUUCCUUGAGUAUCCCUGGGGAUGGAGACCUCCACUGCUCCCUGGGCAGCCUGCGCUGGUGUAUUACGGCUCUUCAGAGAAGAAAUGUUUCUAAAUGUCCAACCUGAUCCUCUCCUGGUGCGAUGUGGUGCUGUCAGCUCUCAUCCUAUCAACACCACCAUCUCCAGCCCUUCUCUAAGCAUACAGCAGGAAAUACCCCACAGCCUCUUCCCACCCAGCAGCGGGCGCUCCCGACCCGGGGUGCUCCAUGGGACAUGGCAUGGCUCCAUCUGGCUGAUCCCAAGGAAUGCCCAGGCGCAGCCGCAGCUCUGGGGGAUUAAAGUGAAGUCUAACGUUACACCCCUUGGAAGAGCCGAGCUUUACUUGGAAACCGAAUCGCAUUAAUUAGCAUUCUGCUAAUGGCUGUUUUGUAUAAAUAUAGUGUGCCUUAAUACCAACACGAGUCGCAGGUUGACAUAUUUAGAUCGCUGAUAUCAAAGUCAUUAACGCCUCUCCGUGGUAAACCUAUUCUCAGUUCGGGCUGCAAAUGGGAUUCUCCUGAGCCAAUCAAUCUUCCUAAAGCCUGAGCAGAGCCUGUUGAUCUUUAGCCACUGAAUGGAUGCAGCUUCCCAGAAAUGUGCUUGCAUCUGUCAGAAUUAUAAGCAGCUGGCAGCCCCAGACAAGGGUCAUAUUUGCCGCGAGUGUGAAAAUAGGAUCCCAGGACAAGAAAUGCUACUUAGCAGCGUAUCGAUUCUGGGCGUGCUAUUAAUGUUGCAGCACAAUGCGUGUGUGUGUGUGUGUCCAUGCAGGCACUCCUGCACAUGCCAAUUAUGUAUUUAUACACAAGGUCUCCUCUCACACAGACCCCGUGGUCCUGGAACUGAUCCAGGGCUUAUUAAAACUUGGUGACAUCAAAGGAUGGGAAAGGUCUGCCCGAGCUGAGGAACUUGGAGAGCUUAA